rnacentral:SRP_RNA from 1 species
GGCCAGAUCCCAGGUGAUGGUGGUUAGGUGAACCCCGUCAGGUCUGAAAAGAAGCAGCGGUAGCUUUAACUAUUAGGUACUUGGAUCAUCUGGCUGUC